GCGCGUGUAGCUCAGGCGGUUAGAGUGCUUGCUUGACAUGCAAGAGGUCCGUGGUUCGAGUCCACGCACGCGCACCA
rnacentral:tRNA from 1 species